UUCAGGAGAACGCAGACUCAUGGGAAGCCCUGAGGCAGCCCCUCAGGAGGACCAAAAGAGGGGCCGGAAAAUUCCAGCCUCAGUCUUCAGACCGGCCAAAUUCUGAGAAAAAUGUGACGCCACAGGAAAACAGACAAGUAAUUGGUUGGUGAUAAGAGGAGAAAGCCGGAAGGAAGGAAAAGGAAAGAACUCUGGAAAUGAAUGGGGUGUGACAGCACUACAGAGGAGACUGUGUCGGCAGAAUAGUGCAGCUUUGAUUCAUUAAUGUGGACCUAAAAGAUCCCAUGGCACUACUUUGAAGAAGAACAGGAGAGUUAUCCCUGGUAUCUUGAUCGAUAUGUAUCUCUCAAUCAACCAUAAAAAUGGAUUAUCUGGCCAUUA